rnacentral:rRNA from 1 species
AGCGAACGCUGGCGGCAGGCUUAACACAUGCAAGUCGAGCGGGCACCUUUCGGGGUGUCAGCGGCGGACGGGUGAGUAACGCGUGGGAACGUGCCCUCUGGUUCGGAAUAACUCAGGGAAACUUGCGCUAAUACCGGAUACGCCCUUUUGGGGAAAGGCUUGCUGCCGGAGGAUCGGCCCGCGUCUGAGGAGCUGGUUGGUGAGGUAACGGUUCACCAAGGCGACGAUCAGUAGCUGGUCUGAGAGGAUGAUCAGCCACCCUGGGAGUGAGAGACGGCCCAGAGUCAUGAGGGAGGCAGAAGUGGGGAAUGGUGGGCAAGGGGGGAAAGCGGGAUACAGGAAGGCGGAGUGUGAGAAGAAGGCGUUCGGGUGGGAAAGCAAUUUUGGCGGGAGAGAAAUGGUUCGGGUUGAUACGUGGCGUGGGUGACGGUACCGGAAGAAGAAGGACCGGCUAACUACGUG